AGGGCAUAGGGUGGAUGCCUUGGCACCAAGCGCCGAAGAAGGACGUGACAAGCUGCGAUAAGCUGCGGGGAGCUGCAAAUGAGCCUCGAUCCGCAGAUUUCCGAAUGGGGAAACCCACCGUUGGUAAUGCGACGGUAUCACCGCAUGAACACAUAGUGCGGUAGAAGGGAACCCGGGGAACUGAAACAUCUUAGUACCCGGAGGAAAAGAAAGUAAAUCAACGAUUUCGUGAGUAGUGGUGAGCGAAAGCGAAAGAGCCCAAACCGGAGAAAUUUAUUUCGAUGGGGUUUUGGACCUGCAUAAUUCGAAGAAUCGAUAGCCGAACACGGUUGGAAAACCGGGCGAAACAAAGUAAUAGCCUUGUAAGCGAAAUCGAUUUCAGAUGGCGGGUAUCCGGAGUACCACGGGACACGUGUAAUCCAGUGGGAAUAUGUGAGGACCAUCUCAUAAGGCUAAAUACGACUUGGUGACCGAUAGCGUAUAGUACCGUGAGGGAAAGGUGAAAAGAACCCCGGGAGGGGAGUGAAAGAGAACCUGAAACCCUAUGCUUACAAGCAGACGCAGCACUACUUAAAGUGUGGCGUCGUACUUUUUGUAGAACGGGCCGGCGAGUUACGUUGCGUAGCGAGGUUAAGUGAUUAAGUCACGGAGCCGUAGCGAGAGCGAGUCUUAACCGGGCGAUUUAGUUGCGUGACGUAGACCCGAAACCGGAUGACCUAUCCAUGGACAGGUUGAAGCAGUGGUAAGACACUGUGGAGGACCGAACCCACGUUCGUUGAAAUGACCGGGGAUGAGCUGUGGAUAGCGGAGAAAUUCCAAUCGAAUCCGGAUAUAGCUGGUUCUCCUCGAAAUAGCUUUAGGGCUAGCCUCUCGUUAGAGUACUGAUGGUAGAGCACUGAAUGGGCUAGGGGGCUUCACAGCUUACUGAACCUUAUCAAACUUCGAAUGUCAGAUACUUGAUGCGAGGGAGUCAGACAGCGUGAGAUAAGUUUCGUUGUCAAAAGGGAAACAGCCCAGAUCUACAACUAAGGUCCCUAAGUACAAGUUAAGUGGUAAAGGAUGUGCCAAUGCUAAGACAACCAGGAUGUUGGCUUAGAAGCAGCCACUCAUUCAAAGAGUGCGUAAUAGCUCACUGGUCGAGUGAGGGUGCGCCGAAGAUUACCGGGGCUAAAACUUGUCACCGAAGUUUAGGGAUGCAGCUUGCUGCAUCGGUAGAGGAGCAAUGUAUGCGGGCAGAAGCGAUAUCGAAAGGGGUCGUGGACUGCAUACAAGAGAGAAUGCCGGCAUAAGUAGCGAGAGCAAAGUGAGAAUCUUUGCCGUCGAAUGCCUAAGGUUUCCUGGGGAAGGUUCGUCCUCCCAGGGUAAGUCGGGACCUAAGCCGAGGCCGAAAGGCGUAGGUGAUGGACAACAGGUAGAUAUUCCUGUACCGCCAAAUGACGUUUAAAUGAGGCAAUGACACAGUAGGAUAGUCGAACCGCGGCGUUGGAUUGCUGCGGCCAAAUCAUGAGGCUGACGCGUAGUGAAGUACGCGCGUCGUAAGGCUGGGUGAUGACGGGGAGUGAAAACUAGUAACGAAGUCGAUGAAUUCACACUGGCGAGAAAAGUUGCUAAAUAUGUUGUUAGGCGCCCGUACCGCAAACCGACACAGGUGGGCGAGGAGAAAAUCCUAAGACGGACGGGAGAACCCUUGUUAAGGAACUCUGCAAAAUGACCCCGUAACUUCGGGAGAAGGGGAGCCUGCUAUGCAGGCCGCAGUGAAGAGGCCCAAGCGACUGUUUACCAAAAACACAGGUCUCUGCUAAAUCGAAAGAUGAAGUAUAGGGGCUGACGCCUGCCCAGUGCUGGAAGGUUAAGGGGAUGUGUUAGCGCAAGCGAAGCACGGAACUUAAGCCCCAGUGAACGGCGGCCGUAACUAUAACGGUCCUAAGGUAGCGAAAUUCCUUGUCGGGUAAGUUCCGACCCGCACGAAUGGCGUAACGACUUGGGCGCUGUCUCAACAGGGGACCCGGCGAAAUUGUACUAUACGUGAAGAUGCGUAUUACCCGCGACUGGACGGAGAGACCCCGUAGAGCUUUACUGUAGCUUGAUAUUGGAAUUCGGUAAUUUAUGUACAGGAUAGGUGGGAGACUUGGAAACAUGGGCGUCAGCUCAUGCGGAGUCAACCUUGGGAUACCACCCUUGAAUUAUUGGGUUUCUAACACCAGACCGUAAUCCGGCUGGUGGACAGUGUCAGGUGGGCAGUUUGACUGGGGCGGUCGCCUCCCAAAAUGUAACGGAGGCGUUCUAAGGUUCCCUCAGGAUGGUUGGAAAUCAUCCAUAGAGCGUAAAGGUAGAUAGGGAGCUUAACUGCGAGACAGACAUGUCGAGCAGAUACGAAAGUAGGACUUAGUGACCCGGCGGUUGAGUAUGGAAUUGCCGUCGAUUAACGGAUAAAAGUUACCUCGGGGAUAACAGGCUUAUCUCCCCCAAGAGUUCACAUCGACGGGGAGGUUUGGCA
rnacentral:rRNA from 1 species